UGUUAGAAUGCAGAUUCUCAGCCUACACUCCCGGAGAUGCUGACCUAGUAAGUCCAGGUGGGGCCCAGGAAUCUGCAUUUUUAGCAAACUCUCAGGUGAUUCUAA
rnacentral:pre_miRNA from 14 species